rnacentral:rRNA from 1 species
UCCUACGGGGGGCAGCAGUGAGGAAUAUUGGUCAAUGGGCGGGAGCCUGAACCAGCCAAGUCGCGUGAGGGAAGACGGUCCUAUGGAUUGUAAACCUCUUUAGGCGGGGAGCAAUGCUGGGCACGCGUGCCCGGAGGGAGAGUACCCGCAGAAUAAGCAUCGGCUAACUCCGUGCCAGCAGCCGCGGUAAUACGGAGGAUGCGAGCGUUAUCCGGAUUUAUUGGGUUUAAAGGGUGCGCAGGCGGAUUUUUAAGUCAGCGGUAAAAUGUCCGGGCUCAACCCGGGCCGGCCGUUGAAACUGGGGG